rnacentral:rRNA from 1 species
AACGAACGCUGGCGGCAUGCCUAACACAUGCGAGUCGAACGAGACCUUCGGGUCUAGUGGCGCACGGGUGCGUAACGCGUGGGAACCUGCCCUUAGGUUCGGAAUAACUCCCCGAAAGGGGUGCUAAUACCGGAUAAUGUCUUCGGACCAAAGAUUUAUCGCCUUUGGAUGGGCCCGCGUUGGAUUAGCUAGUUGGUAGGGUAAAAGCCUACCAAGGCGACGAUCCAUAGCUGGUCUGAGAGGAUGAUCAGCCACACUGGGACUGAGACACGGCCCAGACUCCUACGGGAGGCAGCAGUGGGGAAUAUUGGACAAUGGGCGAAAGCCUGAUCCAGCAAUGCCGCGUGAGUGAUGAAGGCCUUAGGGUUGUAAAGCUCUUUUACCCGGGAUGAUAAUGACAGUACCGGGAGAAUAAGCUCCGGCUAACUCCGU